rnacentral:tRNA from 1 species
GCCUGAGUGGCUCAGUGGUUGAGUGUCUGCCUUUGGCUCAGGUCAUGAUCCCAGGAUCCUGGGAUCGAGUCCCACCUCAGGUU